AGGGGUCUUCAGAUCAGAUGGUUAGACGACGCGAGCGCGCGCGUAGGGCAUUGAAGCCUGAGCCGGUUUGGCCUGGUCCGGCCCUGUAGGCUGACGGGACGACGGGUCUGGGCCCGGGAUACUGUGAUGUGCAAAACCCCCUCCCAAGGAGAGGGAAAAGGCAGUGACGACACUCAGAUGACACGCCAGAGCCAAGGCCAUUAAGAAGAGGCUGAAAUCUUCCAGACACCUUGAGUUUCCGGGGUGAAACCAAAAGCGUCGGUGACAUUCCCUGCUCCGCUCACACACAUCACCAGCCCGGCCCAUCUAGACGCUAUUCAAGAGUGUGUGCAGGUGUUGAGACGAGUCACAAGGACAGGAUGUUCCAUGAAGGACUGUGAGGAACCGCUGGUGAGAUGUGAGAGGAAUCCACUAGUGUGUGUUUGGGUGAGAUGCCUAAAAACAAUCGCCUCGGGCAGAAGCAGCCAACUAGAGUCCUGGCUGCCGAGGCCAUGCUCGCUGCCAAGAGGCUUGCUGGCUUGAUAUGAUAAUGAUCUCUUUAUGGCUACAGCCAAUGGCCUCGCCUCGAACCUCAUCCUCCUGGAUCUCUUGCAGCCCAGACACUGCCAACACCCUUUUCCUGCAAUGCUCUUUCCUGGGUUUUCCCAACAUGCUCUCUUAAGAUAUACUUUUUUUGGGUAAACUCUUACCUUUUGUCUUGGAAUUGCUUCUGAGUAUCAGUACCGAGGGAGAAGAAUGGUAAGGGCUGGGCAAUUGGGGUUGCCCAGGAUCACUUAGGUAAAAACGAUGACCUGGAGAAUUAACAACACUGGAUCUAGAACUGUAAGAGGAAACAACCCGACAAAGAAAGUGUCUUGUCUGCAUACCUAAAUCUCAUGUCAGGAGAAUGUUGCUUUGAUCAUUAACAAGGGGCUGCAAGGUGGUUGAUGUGAAUGCCCAUCCAUUCUAGGACCAACAACCCCAAGGAGGAUCAGGAGUCAGCCUGGGCAUCCCCUGCCUAAUCUUCGGUCUUUGUCUGACCUAGUUUGUGGCUUCCACAAAAGUUCUGCAUCAAGUUUCUGCAGUUCUGAAAACCGCUCUGGUGUUUUUCCCACAGAUACAUCGGAAAGCACUUGUUGAAGUGCUGCUGCAUUAAAAGGAUAGAGAAUCUCCCCCCUCCCCCAGUUUGUGUCCCUUUGAAGGGGCUUGGUCAGAGGCAAGCUCCAAGGGUCAGGGUGCAUCUGUUGGGCAUGACGUCACUUUCUAGGAGUUCAUACCUUGAUUCUGGAUUAGUGCAAAAAGAGCUUCAGGACAUGUAAGCAGGCUACUGUUGAGACCCACCAUGGAUGGGGCAAAACGGAAACAAGUGGCCUGGAAGUUCUUUGUACGUGGACAUAACUUUGCUCUCCACCCUCGUGACUCGUCUUAGCUGUCCUUUGGUGGACAUGCUAAUAAAAUGGGAGAAAGCACGGUUACAAAGAUGACUCACAAUGUCAGAGAUGGAAGGGUCCUUUGGCAUCAUUUAUGUAAAAUAAGAUGGAGACAGGCUCAGACAGGGGCAGUAGUUGGCCUGUUGUCAAGAUGGCUAAGCAGCACUACAAAGCCUGGACAUGUGAGAGACCCCUAGAAGAAUACGAUCAGAAAGUGAAAAGGUUGCAAAGUAGGCCAGACAGAAUUAGGAAAUCCUGCUUAGAAUUGAACAUGGAAGGAAGAGACUUUCGACGAAGAGACAAUUGUGGACGUCAAACAAAACUAACAAGUUAUCAGGUAGUAAUAUCUGGUCAAGGCCAGCAUGGCACGACAUGAAGAAGUUCUGUUGUGGAGACCAAUUUUCAAAACUUUAUCUGCUGUGUUGCCAAGACAAAUCCUGCAGCUCUGCCCUGCACUUAUGAAUUCUGACUCCAAUAUCCCCUUGUCCCUGCCUUGGCAGAUGGUGACCAGACCCAGCUGUUCACCUUCUUUGCCUCUUACCUGUUUAUGAGGACCCCUGAGUAUGUGUGCCUUUGCACCUUCGCAAGCUGUCCUCAUUGCUUCCAGUGAUGGUGUGCCCAGUAAAUCUGUGAUCAAAUCCAACUGUAGACAGACAGGAAAAAAAGAUGGCCGUCAUUGGGUCAGGAGACAUUCCAAGGAGAUACUGUGGCGUCAGGGCUUCUCCGAGAGCUUGGAGUAAAGCUUUCAAGGUAACGGAGAGGUUAUGACCUCACUUUCUAGCCCACUCAAACUAAACAGCAAAGGUUAGCCAGCACCAGCCGGGGGCCCCUUUCCAUCCUAUUUGCAUGGCAUUAAUAUAGGGAGGUAAAUAGACUUACUAAGGAAAUCUCAAUUGGCCUCUUCUGUGCUGGGCACGCUAGCACUUAUGUAUGCCUGUGUGUGCCUGAUACCAGGUCAAAUCCAGCCAAAGGACAUAUUCUUCAAGAAGUGAGAUGAAGGGCUGGAUCUGGUAUAUGGAGCAGCCUCGGCCUCGCCGGUAAGGCAGCCUACAAAGCGGUGAACUCUUGGGUUUUGCACAGAGCCUUUACAUUUGAGAUCAGAGCUGGCCUUGCAAGGUUUGGGCCCUCAUUUUUUCCCUUACACUAUAGUCAGGAUAGUCUUCUGACAAAGAACUCCCACACACCGUAGGGGAUAAUAGCACACAUUCUGCAAAUCUGGCGACAUGAUUCGGACGGCCCAUCACUGAACACAGCCAUUUGUCCUUAGCGUUUGUCUCUAACCCUACAGAUGUUCCGAGGUUGUUAGCCUAAUUACCAAUUACACUUGCUUCUGAUUCUCUAGUUUGGGCAGUUCUUACCUAUGAAAUACGACUUUGUACUUUUCUUUCUGGAAUCACCAAGCAGCACAAUUUGGGGGUUUGUCUAGAGCCCAGGACAGACCUCUAUAGCACUUGCCUUUGGAGUUAUUGGGGACACAUUAUAGAAACAUCCCUCUAUAAGAAUGAAGAUCCUCACAAAGGUUUUUUAAAUUUGUUUUCCUGAGGGGGAUUAGGUGACGAUUUUUGUAACUUGUACAGUUAGUCAGGCUAGAGGCAGCUAGGUGGUUUAGUACAUAGAGAACCAGGCCUGGAGAUGGGAGGUCUUGGGUUCAAAUCUGACCGGAGACACUUCUUAGACCUCCUAGACACUUCUGUGACCCUGGGCAAGUCACUUACUGCCUAGUGCCUAUUGCUCUUCUGCUUUGUAACUGACACUUAGUACUGAUUCUAAGACAGAAUGUCAAGGUUUACAUAAAGCAGUCAAGCUACUGCUGAUCAGAAAUAGCAGCUUCAGUAAGAAAAAUAAUGAAACAUCUGGAAAAGUCUGCCCAAGUCAGUUGGAUCUUUGGAUAAUAAAGCUCUUGCACAAAGGCUGGUUGCCUCUCUCUCAUUUCAUUUCCCUCCCCCUCUCCAAAGCAUUAGGAGCUUCUAUCACUGUGUUCAGCUGGAAGUUAGAUUCUCUUCACUAUUUUGUAACUUCUCCCACCCCCUUUCCAGGUAACACAUAGGAAGAUUCCCCAAGUGGCCAUUUCAGAGCAGCAAAAACAACUCCCCUCCCUUUAGAGAAUUAAGCUUUAAAUACCAGUAUAAGCCACACUUUACUCAUUUUUAAUAGUAGCCUGAGAUCCUUGUUGACUUUACAUUUUCAGUGGCUCCAACCCCUAUUUGUCACUUAAAGGUUUCCCACCUUUAAAAGACUAAUAUUAGUUUUAUAAUGUAAGCUUCUCUGUGUCCAAACAGAAAGACCAAAUAUGAAGGCAUAUAUCAAAAAAAAUCUGUCCUUUAAAUUUGGAACAUAAUAGACUCUUUUAGAGCCACAUGUUGGCCUCUAUUAUGUGGCUACUUUACUAAUUGGUGCAUUAAAGCAGCUUUGUACACAUCAUACCUUCUCUGCUGAAUUCAUACUCUGUAGAAGUUUUAUAAUAUGGUUCAAAAUGAAUACAAAUGGAGCAAAGUAACCGUCACUUUUAGGAUAGAAAAUCCCAACUUUGGACAAUCUUCACAUAGAAUUUUAGACAUUUUUAUAGGCUAUGAACAUACAGUCAAGAAAUAUGUUAACAGUUGACUCGGGCAAAUACAUUUUCUAACAUGGUGACUGACAGUUCUGGACCCAAAGGAUAUGCUGCACUUAAGUGAGAACAUACUGUUUGUAGAGAUGCAUAGUAAAAGCCUAUUUCACUUAGAUAUAUCCAAGAAGCUUUAAUCAGUGUUAUAAGUGCUUCCCAAAAUGUGUAUUUUAAAGAAUUUUGUUCUAUGGAGCCCAAAGUGUUUAAAUAUCUUCCUCAUCCACUAAAUGUCAUCAGCCUUUUCUAAAUGCUUAGAUUUCAAGACAUCAAUAUCGAAUCUCCUAGAAAAAGCUCAAGUGGAAUUUCCAUGAAUUCAAUGAAUACAUUUUAAAGUCAACCAUUAUGGAUAUAAAUCGAUCAGCAACACUACCAGCCCUACAAAAAACAUCCUAUAGUUCAAGUGAAUGAAAGGAAAGAAGAUAUAUUUAUUCAUUGUCACUGAGGAAAUUUGUUCCAGCAGAAUUUAAUGUGCACAUAUAGCCAAAGACCUGAGAUACCCUAGUAAGAGCCCCUCUGAUGUGUAAUGACAAAACCCUAACUCUCUCAACUAUAUCUGAAAAUAGAUUUGCUGAAAGUCAAUUAUAUAACAUGGCAUAAAAGGUUGAUGGUAUAAUUAUACCUGUUGAAUGGGACUCUGUGCCUGAAACAAUAUUCUUCGUCCUAGCAGCUCUGCAAAGAUGCAGCCUACAGACCAGAUGUCAAUAGCAUUGCUGUAAUGACGGCUGCCCAUCAGGAUCUCGGGGGCCCGAUAAUACUGAGUGACAACUUCCUGAGUCAUAUGACGGGAUUCAUCCAGUUCCUCCACUCUGGCCAAUCCAAAGUCGCAAAUCUAAACAGAAAAUUGGUUUGUUUUUCAAAUAUGAUUUUGAAAUGAUCAGGGCUUUCAGAUUUUUUUAUGAGGAAAUGUUAUUUACAUGUGUAACAGGUUAAAAUAGGCUUAAUACUUUGAAAGAGUAUGAUUGUUCGAAAAUGGUUUUUGGCAAUAUUUUAUUUUUUCACAAUUGCAUGUACAAACACUUUUUAACAUUUUUUAAAAAUUAUGUGUUCCAAAUUCUCUCCCCCUUUUCCCUGAGAUAGUAAGCAAUUUGAUACAUGUUAUAUAUGUGGUCUCAUGCAAAACAUAUCAGUCACAUUGUGGAAGAAGGCACAAAAAAACCCUAUUAAAAAUGAGUAGGCUUCAAUUUGCA